UCUUUCUUAACUACUCCUUAUUUCUUCCUUUCUUUCUCCCUGCCUUUUCCCCCUCUUUCUUUAUUCUCUUCUUUCUUACCUAGGCUUUCUGGUGAAUCCCUCCUCACCCCUGCUGAUCACUGUGGGAAUCUUUACCUUCUCCAUUUCUGAUUUGUUCUUCCUGAGGCAGCCUGGUGGCUCUACUGCUAGGGGUGGUCUGUACCAGUUCCAGACAAUGAAGACUUGCUUUAGCCCUCCUGCAUCUCAAAACUCCUGAGCUCAGGCCAUCCAUCAGUCUUAGUAUCCCCUAGCAACAGAGAUUAUAGGUGCCCUUGGGAAAGCCUUGUGUAAUGGUCCGUUCUACAAGCCCCACGAAUAUCACAAAGGGCUUUGAAUCACAAAAGCCCUUUUUGGUGACAGUAUCCUAAGGUGACCAUGAUCACUAGCUUCUGAGUGAUUCCCUAUUCUCGAGGUCAUAUACCUGACAAAGGGGUCUCCAGGUACUCAAGCUAGAUCACUGACAGAUGGCAGCUACAUUACACAGAGAUGAUUGCAGAUUAACACAAGCAGGAGAAAAGCUUGUUGUAUGUCAGAUGGAUACAUGAUCAGGUUCUACAUGCUUAUUGCAACAGGUGAUUAAGGCUGGAUCAUUCCCCUUUGUCUUGGGGAACACCCUCAAGAAGCCCCCCCAUUUAGAAUAAGGAAGACCUGCCUUCAGUUUUUGCUUCUUCCUUUGUGACCAUGGCUUCUGAUGUCUGUGAGGAAAAAAAAGGAGAAAACAGAAGUGAAAAGAAGCCAGAGGAAAUGAGCAGGCUACCCCUUUUAUUGCAUGUAACAAGUAA